GAGUGGUGUGAUGAUUGUAAUUGAUUCCCUAUUGGUUUGAUUGCUGGUGUGAUGGCAUGCAUAAUAUUAGCUCUAUCUGACCACUC
rnacentral:snoRNA from 1 species